GACGAACGCUGGCGGCGUGCUUAACACAUGCAAGUCGAACGAUGAUCCCCCGCUUGCGGGGGUGCUUCGUGGCGAACGGGUGAGUAAUACGUGAGUAACCUGCCCUUGACUCUGGGAUAAGCCUGGGAAACCGGGUCUAAUACUGGAUACUUCUUCCUGCCGCAUGGUGGGGGGUGGAAAGGGUUUUACUGUUUUUGGGUGGGCUCACGGCCUAACAGCUUGUUGGUGGAGUAAUGGCUAACCAAGGUGACGACGGGUACCCGGCCAAAGGGGGUGACCGGCCACCCUGGGGCUUAGGCGAGGCCCAGGCUCCGACGGGGGGGAGCAGGGGGGAAGAUUGCACAAUGGGCGGGAGCCGGAUGCAGCGGCGCCGCGGGUGGGAAGACGGCCUUCGGGUUGGAAACCUCAUUCAGCAGGGAAGAAGCCACAAGUGACGGUACCUGCAGAAGAAGCGCCGGCUAACUACGUG
rnacentral:rRNA from 1 species